CAGUAGCCACGGUAAUACGGAGGGUGCAAGCGUUAUCCGGAUUUAUUGGGUUUAAAGGGUCCGUAGGCGGAUCUGUAAGUCAGUGGUGAAAUCUCACAGCUUAACUGUGAAACUGCCAUUGAUACUGCAGGUCUUGAGUAAAUUUGAAGUGGCUGGAAUAAGUAGUGUAGCGGUGAAAUGCAUAGAUAUUACUUAGAACACCAAUUGCGAAGGCAGGUCACUAAGAUUUAACUGACGCUGAUGGACGAAAGCGUGGGGAGCGAACAGGAUUAGAGACCCGCGUAGUCCCUGUCUCUUAUAC
rnacentral:rRNA from 1 species